rnacentral:rRNA from 1 species
UACGUAGGGUGCAAGCGUUGUCCGGAAUUACUGGGCGUAAAGGGCGCGUAGGCGGCCUGGCAAGUGGAAGGUGAAAUCCCUCGGCUUAACCGAGGAACUGCCUUCCAAACUGCUUGGCUUGAGUCCGGGAGAGGUGAGUGGAAUUCCCAGUGUAGCGGUGAAAUGCGUAGAUAUUGGGAGGAACACCAGUGGCGAAGGCGGCUCACUGGACCGGAACUGACGCUGAUGCGCGAAAGCGUGGGGAGCAAACGGG